GAACGAACGCUGGCGGCGCGUUUAAGCAUGCAAGUCGAGCGGCAAGGGCCUUCGGGCCCCUAGAGCGGCGGACGGGUGAGUAACACGUGGACAAUCUGCCCCCCGGCCCGGGAUAGCCCAGGGAAACCUGGAUUAAUACCGGAUGAGACGGGACCUGCGAUGGCGGGAUCCGGGAAAGGCGCUACGGCGCCGCCGGGGGAUGAGUCUGCGUCCCAUUAGCUAGACGGCGGGGUAACGGCCCACCGUGGCGACGAUGGGUAGCCGGCCUGAGAGGGUGGACGGCCACAUUGGAACUGAGACACGGUCCAGACUCCUACGGGAGGCAGCAGCUAAGAAUCUUCCGCAAUGGGCGAAAGCCUGACGGAGACCGACGCCGCGUGAACGAAGAAGGCCGUGAGGUUGUAAAGUUCUUUUCGGGAGGGGAACAACCGUGGCAGGGAAUGGCCGCGGGAUGACGUGAAUCCCGGAAUAAGCCCCGGCUAACUACGUGCCAGCCGCCGC
rnacentral:rRNA from 1 species